CAGGCGGCGACCAUUUAGACAGCAGAGUGUGCAGACACGGCAGGCAAGCACCCUGGACGAGACCGCACAUCACCCUCGUAGCAAUCACAGUCUGCCAACUACCGUAAUGAGCGGCUAGGGGAGUGCCGAGAGUCAGCAACCCAGAGAUGAUCAGAGUCAUUGAAAACAGUCCUUGGGCGCUCCAUCGCUGGUAGUGCACUCAUUACGAUGCCCUCGAUGAAGUUUACAUGAGCGUCACGUAUAAACGCGGAAUCGAAUACAAAUUGUGUCAUUGUCGUCAAGACCGCGCUGCGUCAAUAAGAUCGCUUGGUGUUUGCGCUUGAAAUCCAACAACAAUUGUUCAUUGCGUCAGUGAAAUCGCAAAUCGUCUCAAACCAAAUGUGGAUCAGGCAAAAACUGAUGGGUGGCUCAAGAGAAAGAAAUAAUACCUCACCUUUUGGUUUAUUCGGUGGGACUUUCAUUCUGUUCGAGAGAGACACUAUGGAGACCCUCUUCCUCCGCAGAGAUGACGCCAUGAUGGUGAACGUCUAACGAAGCUGAAGCAAAUUACAGAAACUGACUACGACUCCUCGAUCGUAUCCAUGUAGCUUUAUACUAUCACCGAAAACUGAUUCUCCCACCCCUUUACACUCAAACGUAUACUUUAAACGACGGCACGUUUCACUGUCGUAUUAAUAAUCGGAUAACUUUAGCAUUGACAUCGUUAUAUCACAGAAUACGAUUUAUCCUCUUUAAUUAUACACCUGUCUAGAUCUGCUUUUUCUUUCAUUAAUCUCCGGAAUAGAAUUAACAUUUAAUCAUUGUACUAUUAAGUGAACAGCAUUGAUUACGCAAAACUUGUUCUAAAUUACAAAUUAAUAAUAAUACAUUUUAAUGAUUUUAACAAAUAAAAGAAAUGAAUGUGAAAUGAAAAAGAAAAAAAAAUGUUUAAAGGAGAAAGACUUUUGAAAGAAUAUAUAAUUUCCUUUGUUACAUUCUUACAACAGACAUAUAUUCUUUGUAUAAAUACCUUAAAUUUAAGAGAAAAAAGAAAUGUUUGGAUCAGAAACUUGAAUCACUGUUUAUAUAUUACCAAUGCGAUGUCAUUAAUUUAUUGAUUACAUUAAUUAUAUAUAUCGAGUUGUAUGUUUUAUAAUUAGAAAACAUUUUUAAUAUCAAGAUACACACAAUAUGAAUUGUUAUAUAAAAUAAGCGUGUUUUGUUGAAAGAAUUCGAAACUCGAUAAAUAACAGAAGAUUUAAUAUAUACCUUUAUUAUUCUUUCAUUUAUUGAGCUUUGAGUAUAAAACAACUGCGCAUCGAUAAAUGAUUGUAAUGUUUACGCGUCCUAUAAAGAUAACAUGUUUAACGUAAACGUUAACGAUUCGAAUACUAUACUGCCCGGUGUUUUCAUUCCUAUCAGAUCAAGAUUCGCUCUCGAGUAUCCAGAGCUUUAAUGAAAACGUCUCCUAUCGUAUCUAUCGAUCAAAUGCAUCAAAAGAAUGUAACACGAUAAGAAGACACAGAAAAGAUAGGAACAACACUCAAGUAAUUAAAACAGAUAUAAAAAUUAAUUAAUUUUUUCUUCAUUGCUGUACAUAUGCAUCGCUUUCAUUUACAAUAUUAAAUACAAAUCAAGAUCUGCAUUUUUACAAAUCUUACACUGAUCAACAUAACGAUUACUUAACAAUUUUUAAACAUAAACAUGUGUUUUACAAUAAACUUUUUAUCACUCGUAAGAUUACUUACAGUCACUUGAUACAUAAAGUGAUAAAAAUAAUAAAUAAUUCCAAACUUAGUCGACAAACUGGCAGAUUGUUUAUUGAUUAAACUCAUUCACAAUGUUUUGACUUAAAAUUUAGGUCCUUUUCAAAUAAGUUGGUUAAAUAUAUAUAUAUAUAUAUAUAUAAAAUCAUUUGUUUAGAAAACACGACCGUUUAUGAAUUCUUUCCAACAAACCUUAUUUUUACAGUAAUAUUUUCAUUAUCAAAACAUUUUUAAUUAUGAAAAAUUCUUAAUCAUUUCUUGUUAAUAUAUUCAUAGUCAAUUUUUACAUAUAAAUUAUAUUUUAAGAUCUAUUUUUUCAUGAUAAAUUUCUAGGUGUAAAUUUUAAAGUAAAUCUUUUUAUAAUCAAUUUUGAAACACUUAUAACCAGUUUUCAUAAUAAUCUAUUCUAUGUCUAUAAAAUUUUUUAAAAUUCUUUUUAUAUGCAAAAUUUGUUUUAACUUCAUUGGGCAAUAUUAAACUUGAAGCAAUAUUAAACAUUGUAUAUGCAAUUGUAUUUAAAACUGCAUAU